GUGGGGAAUUUUGGACAAUGGGCGCAAGCCUGAUCCAGCCAUUCCGCGUGCAGGAUGAAGGCCUUCGGGUUGUAAACUGCUUUUGUACGGAACGAAAAGCCUCUGGUUAAUACCCGGGGGUCAUGACGGUACCGUAAGAAUAAGCACCGGCUAACUACGUGCCAGCAGCCGCGGUAAUACGUAGGGUGCGAGCGUUAAUCGGAAUUACUGGGCGUACAGCGUGCGCAGGCGGUGAUGUAAGACAGUUGUGAAAUCCCCGGGCUCAACCUGGGAACUGCAUCUGUGACUGCAUUGCUGGAGUGCGGAAGAGGGGGAUGGAAGUCCGCGUGUAGCAGUGAAAUGCGUAGAUAUGCGGAGGAACACCGAUGGCGAAGGCAAUCCCCUGGGCCUGCACUGACGCUCAUGCACGAAAGCGUGGGGAGCAAACAGGAUUAGAAACCCGUGUAGUCC
rnacentral:rRNA from 1 species